CUCAUUUCUAUGCCGUUAAUGACAGAGGAUACACACUGUCGAACACAUAAUAGACAGUGGCAUCAUGGGAGCUAGGCUGUGAUUGGCUGAGGGCAAGGAAAACAGGAUUCAAAUGUUAAACGAGUAACAAAGAGGAAUUCCAAAACCACAUUCCUACGGUUUGAUUUUGGUCUGAUUUACUAUUCAGCAUUUAUAUGGACACAGGGGACUCAAACCAUAUCUGAUGUGUGGCUGCUGUGUUACCCCUUGACCCCAGACUGUCUGGAGGUCCGCGGUGACAAAGUCAAGGUCAAGGGGAAGAGGAAAGUGGGGGAGGUGACAAGUCUGAGCAGCAUCUGACGGCUGGAGAGCCCUGUGUCUGGGAGUGCAGAACCCAGACAGUCCCAGACGUCUGUUUGAGGGGAGACGGGGUUGUGUGUGAAACUCCUUUGGAGCUGUACAUCCUACCAUGUCGGCUCCCGUUCACCUCUGUGGCCCUGGAAGAGCAAACAGGGGCUGCUGAUGCCUAGAGACAGACAGGAGUGAUAUUUCCCACACCACAUCAGACGUCUGAAUACAUCAAACGAUUCAAAUGCAGAUAAACACAAAUCCACAUCUUUGUGAUAUAAAUUUAAAUUUAAAUCAGUCACUCAACUCUUAUUCCUUAUUUAAUGUUAUAUUACUAAUGGCCGAAAAACAAAUCAACUUUGUGUGUUUAUUGAGCAAGUUUAGUUGUAUUAUUGUGUACACUUAACACACUUUACACACAGAUAAAAUACAAUAUAUUUUUGUGUGUGAUAUAAAUAGAUUUAUCUUUAUGUUAUUUCUAAUUCAAAACUUGUGAUGCUCACCUUCUCUGCUUUCCUUUGACCUAAACUCAACAUAUGACAAUCGGACGACAGAAGAUGAUCUGUCUCACCUAUACAAGAAUAUAAAAAGUAGAUUUAAUAUCUAACUGCAUUAUUUUUUAUCAUUAUUAUUGUUGUUGUUGUCAUAUGAAUAUUUGACUGUAGGACUUUCUCACUGACGCUGUUGUAAUAAGACUGUAACUUCAAUUAAAAAAGUAUUAUAUCAUUUCUUUAAUCGAUAGAAGCAGGUGCAGCUCCCUCUACAGGUAAUCAUCUGUAGCACUUUCAUAACAAAAUCCCUUGAUGUAUAUGGCCUCUCUCUCUCUUCCUCUCCUCCGCCCUCCUUCUCUCUCACACACACAAAUACUCAAACACAUAUUCUCAAAUAUGAGGCCUCCCAGACCUCCCGCAUGAUCUGCAGUGGAGUGUGUAGCCACCUGUCAAUCACCACAUCUCGGCUGCCUUAAGAGAGACAUUUCGUCUGGGACAACGGCAACCCGUCCCUCCCCAUACAUUCUGCCUCCCCUAGCAACACCGGCCGGAUGACUGAGAGGCUUUGUCCCCUCACAACAGGGGUCCACCAUUGAACUCCAAUGCCCGUAGCAACCAGAAUUAGAGGGUGCCAAAAAGGGGAUCUUUUCUAUGAGUCAGGGUGAAAGCUCUGUUCUUGUCCCCAUGUCUGGGAUUCAUAUCAUGGGUCUGAAUGGUGUCCCCACCUCCUUUUAAAUACUGGUGUAACGGAGCGUAUGAAGGCGCUAGUGGUGAGCGGAUAGGAUCAUGGCUAAUCUGCUGUUCCUCUCCACUGUGGUCCGUUAGGGAUACUUAAGCAGGCUCUGUACACAUUAAGUUGUAUGGGGAGACCUGGGGAUACCUGGGUCAGAGCUAUGAGGUUAAUCAGUGUUGAAGAAAAAGAGCAGCAGCAAAAUAUUUUGAAUGUCGGUAAAGCAAUUCAGAACCUCAAGUUAAGUAGAAGAUUCAGUCAUCUUUUCUUUAGCUAUUAUCACUAUUUUCAUCUAAUCCAAUCUAACACUGACUACUCUGAUAGUCAAAGGCAAAUGGAAAAAUCAACAUUACAGGCCUUAACCUUCUGAAAAGUGGUAAUGUCAAUAAACAGGACUUUACUAAAAAAAAUGUGGAAGUCAAAAUGUUUUGCUAAAUGACUGUGUAGGCUCCAGGUGUGGAGUGAUCUUGUCCAGUUCACAGAGAC